rnacentral:rRNA from 1 species
UUAAGCGACUAAGCGUACACGGUGGAUGCCCUGGCAGUCAGAGGCGAUGAAGGACGUGCUAAUCUGCGAUAAGCGUCGGUAAGGUGAUAUGAACCGUUAUAACCGGCGAUUUCCGAAUGGGGAAACCCAGUGUGUUUCGACACACUAUCAUUAACUGAAUCCAUAGGUUAAUGAGGCGAACCGGGGGAACUGAAACAUCUAAGUACCCCGAGGAAAAGAAAUCAACCGAGAUUCCCCCAGUAGCGGCGAGCGAACGGGGAGCAGCCCAGAGCCUGAAUCAGUGUGUGUGUUAGUGGAAGCGUCUGGAAAGGCGCGCGAUACAGGGUGACAGCCCCGUACACAAAAAUGCACAUGCUGUGAGCUCGAUGAGUAGGGCGGGACACGUGGUAUCCUGUCUGAAUAUGGGGGGACCAUCCUCCAAGGCUAAAUACUCCUGACUGACCGAUAGUGAACCAGUACCGUGAGGGAAAGGCGAAAAGAACCCCGGCGAGGGGAGUGAAAAAGAACCUGAAACCGUGUACGUACAAGCAGUGGGAGCACGCUUAGGCGUGUGACUGCGUACCUUUUGUAUAAUGGGUCAGCGACUUAUAUUCUGUAGCAAGGUUAACCGAAUAGGGGAGCCGAAGGGAAACCGAGUCUUAACUGGGCGUUAAGUUGCAGGGUAUAGACCCGAAACCCGGUGAUCUAGCCAUGGGCAGGUUGAAGGUUGGGUAACACUAACUGGAGGACCGAACCGACUAAUGUUGAAAAAUUAGCGGAUGACUUGUGGCUGGGGGUGAAAGGCCAAUCAAACCGGGAGAUAGCUGGUUCUCCCCGAAAGCUAUUUAGGUAGCGCCUCGUGAAUUCAUCUCCGGGGGUAGAGCACUGUUUCGGCAAGGGGGUCAUCCCGACUUACCAACCCGAUGCAAACUGCGAAUACCGGAGAAUGUUAUCACGGGAGACACACGGCGGGUGCUAACGUCCGUCGUGAAGAGGGAAACAACCCAGACCGCCAGCUAAGGUCCCAAAGUCAUGGUUAAGUGGGAAACGAUGUGGGAAGGCCCAGACAGCCAGGAUGUUGGCUUAGAAGCAGCCAUCAUUUAAAGAAAGCGUAAUAGCUCACUGGUCGAGUCGGCCUGCGCGGAAGAUGUAACGGGGCUAAACCAUGCACCGAAGCUGCGGCAGCGACACUAUGUGUUGUUGGGUAGGGGAGCGUUCUGUAAGCCUGUGAAGGUGUACUGUGAGGUAUGCUGGAGGUAUCAGAAGUGCGAAUGCUGACAUAAGUAACGAUAAAGCGGGUGAAAAGCCCGCUCGCCGGAAGACCAAGGGUUCCUGUCCAACGUUAAUCGGGGCAGGGUGAGUCGACCCCUAAGGCGAGGCCGAAAGGCGUAGUCGAUGGGAAACAGGUUAAUAUUCCUGUACUUGGUGUUACUGCGAAGGGGGGACGGAGAAGGCUAUGUUGGCCGGGCGACGGUUGUCCCGGUUUAAGCGUGUAGGCUGGUUUUCCAGGCAAAUCCGGAAAAUCAAGGCUGAGGCGUGAUGACGAGGCACUACGGUGCUGAAGCAACAAAUGCCCUGCUUCCAGGAAAAGCCUCUAAGCAUCAGGUAACAUCAAAUCGUACCCCAAACCGACACAGGUGGUCAGGUAGAGAAUACCAAGGCGCUUGAGAGAACUCGGGUGAAGGAACUAGGCAAAAUGGUGCCGUAACUUCGGGAGAAGGCACGCUGAUAUGUAGGUGAAGUCCCUCGCGGAUGGAGCUGAAAUCAGUCGAAGAUACCAGCUGGCUGCAACUGUUUAUUAAAAACACAGCACUGUGCAAACACGAAAGUGGACGUAUACGGUGUGACGCCUGCCCGGUGCCGGAAGGUUAAUUGAUGGGGUUAGCCGCAAGGCGAAGCUCUUGAUCGAAGCCCCGGUAAACGGCGGCCGUAACUAUAACGGUCCUAAGGUAGCGAAAUUCCUUGUCGGGUAAGUUCCGACCUGCACGAAUGGCGUAAUGAUGGCCAGGCUGUCUCCACCCGAGACUCAGUGAAAUUGAACUCGCUGUGAAGAUGCAGUGUACCCGCGGCAAGACGGAAAGACCCCGUGAACCUUUACUAUAGCUUGACACUGAACAUUGAGCCUUGAUGUGUAG